rnacentral:rRNA from 1 species
GAGUUUGAUCAUGGCUCAGGAUGAACGCUAGCGGCAGGCUUAACACAUGCAAGUCGAGGGGUAUAGUUCUUCGGAAUUAGAGACCGGCGCACGGGUGCGUAACGCGUAUGCAAUCUACCUUUCACAGAGGGAUAGCCCAGAGAAAUUUGGAUUAAUACCUCAUAGUAUAACGACUCUGCAUGGAGAUGUUAUUAAAGUCACAACGGUGAAAGAUGAGCAUGCGUCCCAUUAGCUAGUUGGUAAGGUAACGGCUUACCAAGGCUACGAUGGGUAGGGGUCCUGAGAGGGAGAUCCCCCACACUGGUACUGAGACACGGACCAGACUCCUACGGGAGGCAGCAGUGAGGAAUAUUGGACAAUGGGCGCAAGCCUGAUCCAGCCAUGCCGCGUGCAGGAUGACGGUCCUAUGGAUUGUAAACUGCUUUUGCACAGGAAGAAACAACUCUACGUGUAGAGUCUUGACGGUACUGUGAGAAUAAGGAUCGGCUAACUCCGUGCCAGCAGCCGCGGUAAUACGGAGGAUCCAAGCGUUAUCCGGAAUCAUUGGGUUUAAAGGGUCCGUAGGC